UACGUAGGUGGCAAGCGUUGUCCGGAUUUACUGGGUGUAAAGGGCGUGCAGCCGGGAAGACAAGUCAGAUGUGAAAUCCCGCGGCUCAACUGCGGGACUGCUUUUGAAACUGCCAAGCUAGAGUGUCGGAGAGGUAAGUGGAAUUCCUAGUGUAGCGGUGAAAUGCGUAGAUAUUAGGAGGAACACCAGUGGCGAAGGCGGCUUACUGGACGAUGACUGACGCUGAGGCUCGAAAGCGUGGGGAGCAAACAGG
rnacentral:rRNA from 1 species